UUGUUAUAAGUCUAAAUAGCAGCAGAAUAAUGGCAAAGAGUGUUCAGUAGUUUUGCUGUGUGUGUGUGUGUGUGUGUGUGUGUGAGAGGGUAGGGAGCAUAGCUGUUCUAAGCACUGAUCUGGGGGUCUGAUAAACCUGGCUUUCAACCACAUCUCCUUCAGUCAGAAGAAACAUGACCUUGGGUAAUUUACUUGACUUUCUGUGCUUCAAUUAUUUUUUUCUAUAUAAUGAGAUUAACAAUAAUAGUACCAGCUCACUCAGGGAUUAGCAAGAAGAUUCUAAAAGAUAAUGUAUGGGAAGUGCUGUCUUACUGUUUUGUCCAUAUCAAGCAGUUAACACACAGUAGCUGUUACUGUAAUAAAUAUACUUAUACUUCAAUAUCUAGCAUUAUUAUGGCCAGAUUACAGGUAAUAAAAAACUAAGAAAGAUGUGGCCACAUAAUCAUAACUGUAUUAAAGGCAAGCUUUAGAAGUAGUUCAAUUAUGCAGCAGUUUCAUAACAUGCAAAUACACCCGCAGAUAAAGGCUAACCAAAAUGAGUUAAUAUCCGUUUCUACAACGUUGCAGUACAAAGACGGAUAUACUGUUCUAUUUGGGGUUUAGCAUAUCCCAGCAUAUCAUUUUUCUUUGCUGAACUUCUUUCCUUGCAGCAUAGAUGCUUGUUUGUUUUGCAAAACACUGAUUGAGCUUAGGAAAGGCGAUUGGUCAGGCAGUCAAACAAAAACCAACAACCACCAAGCAGACACUAAGCUAGUCUCUGGAGAAACAAUAGCAAAGCUUGAAGUGAACUGAUUGUAUAGAUAAAUCAAUGGAAAUGAGACAAGGCACACUCCAGUUAUGUAAUUUUCAAAUUGCUACCUGUCAUUGAGCAACAUAAGAGGGGUUGCAUAGGCAGAUUGGGAAAAUGAACCCAAGUUACCCUUUCUGCGCGUACUGCCUGUUCCCUGGAUGGGAGUAAUCUGCCAGAUGGAGACUUAAACCAUCUUCCUGUCUUCUUUCCAUGUAAAGAAUAGGCAUUUGCAUAGAUUUAAGAAAUACUUGUUGAAAUUGAAUGGGAAGCCUGAUACCAUGUAAGAUACUAGGGAGCGCAAUGAACACACUUGCUGUCUCCAGGGGCUCCCGCAACAGUGGGAAACACACCUGAAGGGCCAGCCUGAGCCCAGGGUUACACUUCUUGGGUAAGGGAGCUCCUUGAGGACAAGGCUUUGCUUAAGCAAAGCUGGAAGCUAUGGGAUUAAAUUAUCAGGAGCCAUUGGGGUAUGAUAAAAAAAAAAAAUUUAGAGUCAGAAAGACUUAGCUUUAAAUCUCAGCUCUGUCACUCAACAGCUAUGUUGCCUUGAGCAAAGUGUUUAACUUCUGAGCUUCAAUUUCCUCAUCAGCAGCAUUAGGAUGAUAAUAGCAUUUAUUCUAUGGGGUAACUGUGAGAAUCGAAGAGAUAAAAUGUCCAGUCUACGAUAAGUGCUCAGCAGAGUGUAGCUGUAAAAUAUUAACGUAUAACUGACUUUUCAUGUAAUUGUGAUAAAAGCAAGGGUUCUGAGGACAGAUGGGCCCAGGUCAGGUCCAGGUUCUGCUUCUUCCUGCAGCAUGACUUUUUAGGCUAUAUUUUAUAAUCUAAGCUUCAAUUUCUUCACCUGUGAAAUGGGGCUGGUAGUAAGACUACCUUUCUCACGGGUUUAUUUUGAUGAUUAAGUGAGGUAAAGGGCUGAGAGCAAUGCCUAGCGCAAAGGUUAGCUUUUGUUAAUAUGAUGUUGCUAGGGUGACCUUAUGCUCCUUCCUUCUGAGAGUCGGUGAUGCUAUUACUGAGAAGGUGGCCACUUUGGUAGUGUACCUUGUGGCUAAGAACAUGGAUUUUGGUGCAAAGUCUGGAUUUUUAUCCCCCCUCUCUGUUUCUUGCUAGGGGUCUCUUUAGGCCUCUGUUUCUUCAUUUGUAAAAUGGGCACAAUAAAAGUAUCAAUCACACUGUUUCCCUGAGGGUUAAAUAAUGUAAUUAAUAUUAAACGCUUAAGAGUUGGUACAUAGUGAGUGCUCAAUACUUAUAAGCUAUUAGUAUUGCCUUAAAACCCAUAAUCAUUUAGACAAAGCGUUCAUGGUUUGACAUAGAAUGCCCAAAGACAAAUAUCUAACCCCUUCCAGUGGCUUUUGCCACUCAAUAAAAAAUCUUUGUUUUCUAUUACUUGACUAAUAAGAAAGCUUUAGAAACAAGCUUUCCCUAACCUAGCUGCAUCAUGACAGACACUGGAAGGACAUAAGCAACAGAACUUACAAGGUUUUCAUGUAAGGACGAAGACAUCUAAUCCAGAGACAUGAAAGGCCAUGGCCAAAGUCUUAGGCCAUUUCCUUCUGGUGGUGAAACUGGAACCCAUUUUUCUUGAUGCUCAACCUCAAGCGGUCCCUGAACAGAGCAGUUCGAAAACCAAGUGAAAACCACAAAGGACACAGGAAACAGGAGACCUGGGUGACUAAACAGGGGAGGGAAAAGAGGGGCUAUUAUCUGGGCCUUUCAUCCAUUCUGGGUGCUCUGCAGCUUAGACUGGUGAUGAAGAGCAUGAGCAUGAAGUCAGGUGGAAUCCAGAUUUGUUGUAUUUCUCUCUGUGAAAACUUGGCCAAUUAGCUUAGCUCUGCAAGUCUCAAUUUCUGCACCUGUAAAAUGCAGCCACUUGCAAUUUGAAGGAUAGAAUGAAAUGUUUGUAAAAUGCUCAGGAUAAUCUUUGACAAAGUGAGGAAGGAGUUCAAUAAAUGGUUAACUUUGUUAUUAGGAAGAAUCAUGGAAAGAUGGAAAAAUGAAUGAGAAACUAUUGGAUAUAGCAUAAGUGAAUUCUUGGCUCAUGGAAAUUAAAAAAAAUCAGAUCACUGUGCUUUUUAAGUACAAGAUUUUUAUGUCUUUAAAGAAUGCUGACUGAUAUUGGGGAUUAUAGAUCAAAAUAUUCCAUCUACAUUCUUAUGAAGCCAAUCAUUCACUGACUUAUUCUUCGUUUUUUAAAAAUGUAGUUAUUCACCGCCGGAGUACCUAAGCUGGACUUUGAGACGGUGACACUAUUCCCUGACAAUCUAUGCCAAAGACAACCAAGUGGCAACAGCCUCGCAGACCAUUUUAAUCCAGAUUGCAGAUGUGAAUGAACCGCACACCUUUGCUGGAUCUCUUGCCCAGGGUGACCAAGUUACUGAGAUUUAUAUCCUGGAAGAUACUGCCCCAGGCACAGUCAUUUACUGAGCGGCAGCCAACGACCCAGAGGAUGCUGUUUUGGAGUACUUCAUUUCCCCGGAGGGCUCUGGCUUCACAAUCGAUGGCAUUGGAACAAUUUCCACAGCAGCAGUUUUUGAUUUUGAAAGUGAAU